rnacentral:rRNA from 1 species
AGAGUCCACAUCGACGGCCCGGUUUGGCACCUCGAUGUCGGCUCGUCGCAUCCUGGGGCUGUAGUCGGUCCCAAGGGUUGGGCUGUUCGCCCAUUAAAGCGGUACGCGAGCUGGGUUCAGAACGUCGCGAGACAGUUCGGUCCCUAUCUGCCGUGGGCGUUGGAGAGUUGAGGGGAGUCGUCCCUAGUACGAGAGGACCGGGAUGAACGCACCUCUGGUGUACCAGUUGUCCUGCCAAGGGCACUGCUGGUUAGCUACGUGCGGAUCGGAUAACCGCUGAAGGCAUCUAAGCGGGAAGCCGACCUCGAGAUGAGCUCUCCCAUCCCCUUGAGGGAGUAAGACCCCUGGAAGACCACCAGGUGAUAGGCCGGAUGUGUAAGGGCAGCAAUGCCCUUAGCAGACCAGUACUAAUGGUUCGAGGGCUUGACGGA